rnacentral:rRNA from 1 species
AGGUGCGAUCAUACCAGCACUAAUGCACCGGAUCCCAUCAGAACUCCGCAGUCAAACGUGCUUGGGCGAGAGUAGUACUAGGAUGGGUGACCUCCUGGGAAGUCCUCGUGUUGCACUUC